AGCGAACGCUGGCGGCAGGCCUAACACAUGCAAGUCGAACGAGCCCUUCGGGGCUAGUGGCGGACGGGUGAGUAACACGCGGGAACGUACCCUUAGGUUCGGAACAACACAGGGAAACUUGUGCUAAUGCCGAAUGUGCCCUUCGGGGGAAAGAUGUAUCGCCUUUGGAGCGGCCCGCGUCGGAUUAGACAGUUGGGGAGGUAAAGGCUCACCAAGGCUACGACGAGUAGUGGGUCUGGGAGGAUGAUCAGCCACACUGGGACUGAGACACGGCCCAGACUCAUACGGGAGGCAGCAGUGGGUGAUCUUGCGCAAUGGGCGAAAGCCUGACGCAGCCAUGCCGCGUGAAUGAUGAAGGUCUUAGGAUUGUAAAAUUCUUUCACCGGGGAAGAUAAUGACGGUACCCGGAGAAGAAGCCCCGGCUAACUUCGUGCCAGCAGCCGCCGUAAGAC
rnacentral:rRNA from 1 species